rnacentral:tRNA from 1 species
GAGGGUAUAGCUCAGUGGAAAAUCAGGUGCUCAAUAUGCACAAGGUCCUGGGUUCAAUCCCCAGUACCGUCA